rnacentral:sRNA from 1 species
UUACCAGGUCACAAAACCUGGCCAUGGCC